rnacentral:lncRNA from 1 species
AGGUAAAGGUGAAAAUGAUGUGCUGUCAGCUGUGAAAUGAGAAAGCCUUCCAUCAGACCCUGGAAAAGAUGUAAAGAGCUGUACUUCAGAAAAAUAUUGGAGAAAAGUACAAAUCUUAAAAAAAUUUUUUUGAGUAGUGCAUUUCAUCAGCAGAUGCUGUCAAUUUUGUUAUACUGGUAACAGAUAUCUAUGGAAAAUGAAAUUCUCAACAGCACAUUGCCAG